rnacentral:misc_RNA from 1 species
GAUGAAGAACGCAGCGAAAUGCGAUAAGUAAUGUGAAUUGCAGAAUCCAGUGAAUCAUCGAAUCUUUGAACGCACAUUGCGCCCGCCAGUAUUCUGGCGGGCAUGCCUGUUCGAGCGUCAUUACAACCCUCAGGCCCCCGGGCCUGGCGUUGGGGAUCGGCGGAGCCCCCCGUGGGCACACGCCGUCCCCCAAAUACAGUGGCGGUCCCGCCGCAGCUUCCAUCGCGUAGUAGCUAACACCUCGCGACUGGAGAGCGGCGCGGCCACGCCGUAAAACACCCAACUCUUCUGAAGUUGACCUCGAAUCAGGUAGGAAUACCCGCUGAACUUAAGCAUAUCAAUAAGCGGAGGA